UACGUAGGGGGCAAGCGUUGUCCGGAUUUAUUGGGCGUAAGAGCGUGUAGGCGGCCAGGUAGGUCAGCUGUGAAAACUCGAGGCUCAACCUCGAGACGUCGGUUGAAACCACCUGGCUAGAGUCCGGAAGAGGAGAGUGGAAUUCCUGGUGUAGCGGUGAAAUGCGCAGAUAUCAGGAAGAACACCCGUGGCGAAGGCGGCUCUCUGGGACGGUACUGACGCUGGAGAGCGAAAGCGUGGGGAGCGAACAGG
rnacentral:rRNA from 1 species